AUGUGCUUAAAUAUCAGGAAGCCAUCAUCUUCUAAAACAUAUUGUUACCUACUCAAACAUAUUGUCUUCCUUUGUGUUUCCGAUAAAUUAUUUAUAAAAACACACGUAAAACAGAAGUUGCAGAACCUGCAUUGGACCAUGCUCAUUUGCUUUGUCCAUUUUUUUGAAGAAAUAACACUCUCCAGAUUCCUAAGCAUUCAGAAUUAUGACUUAGUGUGCUAUCACAUUUCCCAGUAUCAGACGCUAUAUUUUUUGUGGGAAUCAUUGACACAGUUCCUUCAGAAAGUUGUAUCUCUGAAAUGUACAAACUGCUCUUAUGUAAUUCUACCAUCCAUUCUGAUGUUGAGGCAAAUAUACAUGUUAUGCAGGCGUACUAUUGUUCAAGAUAGUGUGUGUGACAUAUGUGGGAACGGGGAGGAAGAUGAAAAUCAUGUUGUUAUAUCAUGCACAAAAAGUAAGGCGUUGAGAUUUGCCAUGAGGAAAGAGUGGAGGCUUCCAGAAGAAAAGGAGUUCUGGUACACUGGAACAGACUGGCUACAAAUCCUACUGGACAAGUAUGAUUCAGAGAUAAGAAAGAAAAAUCUGCUGUUGUUAUGGAGAGCCUGGUUUCUAUGA
rnacentral:rRNA from 1 species